AUAAAGUACACUUCAGCUUCGACAUCAGUAGACCAAACACUGGGUGUUUCAAGAAGCAAGGACAUUUAAAUGAAAAAAGAAGAGGAAGAAAGCCCUCUGUUAAUUUGAAGCUGAGCAUCUGAUCCACUAAAAUUGACAAAAUAAAUAGCAUAAUCGUAUACCUGGGGAUUCAUGCCGAAACUUCUGAAUCAGACACCCUGGGGCUGGGAACUAGUCAGCCAGGGUGUCUUCUGGAUCACACACCCUGGGGAAUGUGGACUUUAACAUUUCUUCUGAGUAAUUUUGGCCUCCAGCCUGAGUAAGGAUAGUUCUAGACCUAUAGUUCUUAAACCUAGAUGAGUAAUUAUAAAAAUUACCUAGGGGAGGAGCCAAGAUGGCCGAAUAGGAACAGCUCCGGUCUACAGCUCCCAGCGUGAGCGACGCAGAAGACGGGUGAUUUCUGCAUUUCCAUCUGAGGUACCGGGUUCAUCUCACUAGGGAGGGCCAGACAGUGAGCGCAGGUCAUUGGGUGCACGCACCAUGCGCGAGCCGAAGCAGGGCGAGGCAUUGCCUCACUUGGGAAGCGCAAGGGGUCAGGGAGUUCCCUUUCCGAGUCAAAGAAAGGGGUGACGGACACACCUGGAAAAUCGGGUCACUCCCACCCGAAUAUUGCGCUUUUCGGACCGGCUUAAAAAACGGUGCACCACAAGAUUAUAUCCCACACCUGGCUCGGAGGGUCCUACGCCCACGGAAUCUCGCUGAUUGCUAGCACAGCAGUCUGAGAUCAAACUGCAAGGCGGCAGCGAGGCUGGGGGAGGGGCGCCCGCCAUUGCCCAGGCUUGAUUAGGUAAACAAAGCAGCCUGGAAGCUCGAACUGGAUGGAGCCCACCACAGCUCAAGGAGGCCUGCCUGCCUCUGUAGGCUCCACCUCUGGGGGCAGGGCACAGACAAACAAAAAGACAGCAGUAACCUCUGCAGACUUAAAUGUCCCUGUCUGACAGCUUUGAAGAGAGCAGUGGUUCUUCCAGCACGCAGCUGGAGAUCUGAGAACGGGCAGACUGCCUCCUCAAGUGGGUCCCUGACCCCGACCCCCGAGCAGCCUAGCUGGGAGGCACCCCCCAGCAGGGGCACACUGACACCUCACACGGCGGGGUACUCCAACAGACCUGCAGCUGAGGGUCCUGUCUGUUAGAAGGAAAACUAACAAACAGAAAGGACAUCCACACCAAAAACCCAUCUGUACAUCACCAUCAUCAAAGACCAAAAGUAGAUAAAACCACAAACAUGGGGAAAAAACAGAACAGAAAAACUGGAAACUCUAAAAAGCAGAGCGCCUCUCCUCCUCCAAAGGAACACAGUUCCUCACCAGCAACGGAACAAAGCUGGAUGGAGAAUGACUUUGACGAGCUGAGAGAAGGCUUCAGAUGAUCAAAUUACUCUGAGCUACGGGAGGACAUUCAAACCAAAGGCAAAGAAGUUGAAAACUUUGAAAAAAAUUUAGAAGAAUGUAUAACUAGAAUAACCAAUACAGAGAAGUGUUUAAAGGAGCUGAUGGAGCUGAAAACCAAGGCUCGAGAACUACGUGAAGAAUGCAGAAGCCUCAGGAGCCCAUGCAAUCAACUGGAAGAAAGGGUAUCAGCGAUGGAAGAUGAAAUGAAUGAAAUGAAGCGAGAAGGGAAGUUUAGAGAAAAAA
rnacentral:lncRNA from 1 species